rnacentral:rRNA from 1 species
CACACUGCCCGUCAAACCAUGGGAGUUGAUUUUACCCGAAGUCGGUCAGCUAACUCGCAAGAGAGGCAGCCGCCCACGGUAGGAUGAAUGACUGGGGUU